AUUACAGGGUAACCGACUAGCGAGCUAUAGGCACCACCGCGUCGACUACAGAGAGUCGACUCACUAUUCAGGGCAGAGACUGCGUGUAGUAACAGCUGCGUUAACCCCUGGUGGUGCCCUUCCGUCAAUUUCUUUAAGUUUCAGCCUUGCGACCAUACUCCCCCCAGAACCCAAAAACUUUGAUUUCUCGUAAGGUGCCGAACGAGUCAAAAAAUAACAUCGUCCGAUCCCUAGUCGGCAUAGUUUAUGGUUAAGACUACGACGGUAUCUGCGUUUUACAGCACUGUAUUUCAGCGCCUGUCGUCACCUUUUCAGGCGCGGGUCGACUAAAAAUAAAGAACUCGGGCGUUCCCACCGACGUUUAGUCUGUGAACUGCACCCCCGCCUGCGGGGUAACUACCCCGCUAUAGGGUAGCUACCGGGUAGGCUUCUCGGGCUUGGCUGCGGAUGGUCCAAUCCCCUACACCUGGUUACGACCUACCGUCUAUUUCUUAAGCGGCAGGGUGUGGUAGGGGCUCUAAGGAGGUACCCGCAAUUUUGAUUUCUCGCCCGCUGUACCCCAGCUACAGCGGACUAGCUAGGCCGAUCCCUAAUCGGCAUAGUUUAGAUUAAUC
rnacentral:rRNA from 1 species